rnacentral:rRNA from 1 species
GACGAACGCCGGCGGCGUGCCUAAUACAUGCAAGUCGAACGCACGAAGUUGAAGAGCUUGCUCUUUAACCAAGUGAAUGGCGGACGGGUGAGUAACACGUGGGUAACCUGCCCAUUAGAGGGGGAUAACAUUCGGGAACGGAUGCUAAUACCGCAUAGUUUCAGGGAUCGCAUGAUUCUUGAAGGAAAGGUGGCUCCGGCUACCACUAAUGGAUGGACCCGCGGCGUAUUAGCUAGUUGGUGAGGUAAUGGCUCACCAAGGCAAUGAUACGUAGCCGACCUGAGAGGGUGAUCGGCCACACUGGGACUGAGACACGGCCCAGACUCCUACGGGAGGCAGCAGUAGGGAAUCUUCCGCAAUGGACGAAAGUCUGACGGAGCAACGCCGCGUGAGUGAAGAAGGUUUUCGGAUCGUAAAACUCUGUUGUUAAAGAAGAACAAGGAUGAGAGUAACUGCUCAUCCCCUGACGGUAUUUAACCAGAAAGCCACGGCUAACUACGUGCCAGCAGCCGCGGUAAUACGUAGGUGGCAAGCGUUGUCCGGAUUUAUUGGGCGUAAAGCGAGCGCAGGCGGUUCUUUAAGUCUGAUGUGAAAGCCCCCGGCUCAACCGGGGAGGGUCAUUGGAAACUGGAGAACUUGAGUGCAGAAGAGGAGAGUGGAAUUCCACGUGUAGCGGUGAAAUGCGUAGAUAUGUGGAGGAACACCAGUGGCGAAGGCGACUCUCUGGUCUGUAACUGACGCUGAGGCUCGAAAGCGUGGGGAGCAAACAGG